rnacentral:rRNA from 1 species
UGGGGAAUUUUGCACAAUGGGGGAAACCCUGAUGCAGCGACGCCGCGUGAUUUAGAAGGCCUUCGGGUUGUAAAAAUCUUUUCUAUGGGAAGAAAAUGACAGUACCAUAGGAAUAAGGACCGGCUAAUUACGUGCCAGCAGCCGCGGUAAUACGUAAGGUCCGAGCGUUGUCCGGAAUCAUUGGGCGUAAAGGGUACGUAGGCGGGUAAGCAAGUUAGAAGUGAAAUCCUAUAGCUCAACUAUAGUAAGCUUUUAAAACUGCUCAUCUUGAGGCAUGGAAGGGAAAGUGGAAUUCCUAGUGUAGCGGUGAAAUGCGCAGAUAUUAGGAGGAAUACCGGUGGCGAAGGCGACUUUCUGGCCAUAACCUGACGCUGAGGUACGAAAGCGUGGGUAGCAAACAGG